rnacentral:rRNA from 1 species
AAAGAAACCAAAGGGAUUGCCCUAGUAACGGCGAGUGAAGCGGCAACAGCUCAAAUUUGAAAUCUGGCUUCGGCCCGAGUUGUAAUUUGUAGAGGAAGAUUUAGGCGCGGCACCUUCUGAGUCCCCUGGAACGGGGCGCCAUAGAGGGUGAGAGCCCCGUAUAGUUGGAUGCCUAGCCUGUGUAAAUCUCCUUCGACGAGUCGAGUAGUUUGGGAAUGCUGCUCAAAAUGGGAGGUAAAUUUCUUCUAAAGCUAAAUAUUGGCCAGAGACCGAUAGCGCACAAGUAGAGUGAUCGAAAGAUGAAAAGCACUUUGAAAAGAGGGUUAAAUAGCACGUGAAAUUGUUGAAAGGGAAGCGCUUGUGACCAGACUUGCGCCGGGCGGAUCAUCCGGUGUUCUCACCGGUGCACUCCGCCCGGCUCAGGCCAGCAUCGGUUCUCGUGGGGGGAUAAAGGCCCUGGGAACGUAGCUCCUCCGGGAGUGUUAUAGCCCAGGGUGUAAUGCCCUCGCGGGGACCGAGGUUCGCGCAUGGGCAA